UAUGCUAGUUGUAUUAAUUCAAUUUGCUCAGAUUUAAUAUUACAUCAAAACCUUAUGUUAAUCUAGUUAAUCUCCACUAAUACCCAAUUACUAAAAAUCAACGUUAAAUGGCAAAUUGAAUUAAAAGAGGGGUUAGGGUUUACCUUGUUGUGACUCAUGAGCUUACUUCAAGCUCUUCUUCCCUCCUACGAACAAAAUGAGAUGGCGAAGCUAGCUUUCAUCUCCGACUCAACUUUCCGGCGCCGAACAAACGUGCUCCGUCUUCCAUCUCUCUUCGCAUCUCAACUUUAGCUCUCUCAAGCUCUUUCUCAGACGAAUAUACGGACGACGGCCGGAGUCACGAAUUAUCACCUCCGAUUGAAGCUCCUUCACUACCGUGACCAAGAAAACUGGAUCGACGUCAUCUCAUUUAUCCGCCUCUCUCUCCCUUUUCCACGAUUCAAAUCCUCGUGUGGUGUUGUUGCUCGUAGCGAUUGGCGCUGAGGUUGCAGACAAUUAAAGUGAAGACGAAGACGUCAGUUGCGAUGCGAAGCAUUAAUAUUUAAGAGGAUUGAAGGUGCGAUCGUGCGAAGAAUUUAAUGAGGAUGAUGAUUGAACAGUUGAAGCUUCAUGUUGAAGAUGAAUGAGAGAGUGAAGGUUGAUGAAACAUGGUGGUUCGACGACGAUGAUGAUGAUGCAGAGGCGUUGUUGAAAGCUGAACGAUGGCUCUGAGAUGAUGAAGAUUGAGUGUGGAUUAAGAGAGAAAUUUCGGAGCAUUUGUUACAUCUUUUUCGAUGAGUUUCUUUUCCAACUUUCUCUUUUGUUUUCUGUUCUGAGAAUUCUUUUUUUCUCUUCUGAUUUUCUGUUUCUUUUCUGUUGAUGAUGAUGAUGAUGAGAUUGAAGAGUGGUGAUGAUGAAUGGAAGUGCCGAAUGAUGAAGGUUGUAGAGAGUGAGAAGGGAGAAGGUUGAUGAAAAUGGUGGAGAGGGGAAUGGUGAAGUGGAUGCGUGAAGAAGCCUCUGACUUGGAGGGGAGGAGAAUAUAUAGGUUGUUAAUGAUGAAGAAGUUAGUUAGAGGAGAAGUAAUGAGAGCCCUUAGAUUAAACCUUUUUGUUGUACAAAUGGAGGGUGAGAUUGAAGUUAGUUGUAGUUGGUUACCAAUUCUGCUAGAGAUGUUUUUCUGUUAUAGGGCUAUAUGGCUAGUUAGCAUGAAGAAAUGUUGAAGAAGCUUUGAAGAAGUUUUUCUGUGAGGCUUUUUCUGAGUUUUUGUGUACGAAUUGCAGAGAAACAAAAUGAAGUGAAGGUGAUUGGUGGUUGAACAGUUGAAGCUUACAGACUGAGGUCUUGUUGCAGGGUUUUUUUUGUGAGAGAUUCAAUGAAGGUGAAGAUUGAUGAUGGAAUGAAGGAGCAGCUUGAUGAUGAUUGAAUUGAGGAUCGAGAGAGAGAUGGCGUUUAUUACAAUUCUGUUAUCACCUAUUUCUUUUUCGUCUUCUGUUGAAGUCCCCCCCGAAACUUUGUUUUUCAUUCCAUCCCCUUUCCAUUGAUUUUUUUUGUCAUCCUUUGGGCCUCUAAUGGGUUUUUUCUUUUAUAAUUCAAACUAUUUUGUAAUGGAGUUUGAAUGGGCUUUUAUUUGUGAAUGUAAUGUGAAUAAGUACUUGGACUUUGAUUUUCAUGUAAUUAUGGAUGUAAUGAUAUUGAUAUAUUUGCCAUCCUUCUUUUUGUAACAUGAUACUUUUUCUUUUAAUGAAUUUUGAACGAGGAAUAAUGUGCAUCUUAGAUAAGCUUUUGACGACUUUGAAUGAUGGAUCUUGUAUAAAAAUACUUGAAAACUCUUGAAUGAAUGAACGUGUUUUCCAUAAGGCUUUCCAUAAGGCUUGAAUAUCCUUUUACAUGCCAUUUGUCUUAAGUUUCAAGUAACUUGUUUCUCAAGACC